GACGAACGCCGGCGGCGUGCCUAAUACAUGCAAGUAGAACGCUGAAGGAGGAGCUUGCUUCUCUGGAUGAGUUGCGAACGGGUGAGUAACGCGUAGGUAACCUGCCUGGUAGCGGGGGAUAACUAUUGGAAACGAUAGCUAAUACCGCAUAAGAGUAGAUGUUGCAUGACAUUUGCUUAAAAGGUGCAAUUGCAUCACUACCAGAUGGACCUGCGUUGUAUUAGCUAGUUGGUGGGGUAACGGCUCACCAAGGCGACGAUACAUAGCCGACCCGAGAGGGUGAUCGGCCACACUGGGACUGAGACACGGCCCAGACUCCUACGGGAGGCAGCAGUAGGGAAUCUUCGGCAAUGGACGGAAGUCUGACCGAGCAACGCCGCGUGAGUGAAGAAGGUUUUCGGAUCGUAAAGCUCUGUUGUAAGAGAAGAACGAGUGUGAGAGUGGAAAGUUCACCACU
rnacentral:rRNA from 1 species